rnacentral:rRNA from 1 species
GUGGGGAAUAUUGCACAAUGGGGGAAACCCUGAUGCAGCGACGCCGCGUGAGCGAAGAAGUAUUUCGGUAUGUAAAGCUCUAUCAGCAGGGAAGAAACUGACGGUACCUGACUAAGAAGCACCGGCUAAAUACGUGCCAGCAGCCGCGGUAAUACGUAUGGUGCAAGCGUUAUCCGGAUUUACUGGGUGUAAAGGGAGCGUAGACGGAGUGGCAAGUCUGGAGUGAAAACCCAGGGCUCAACCCUGGGACUGCUUUGGAAACUGUCAAUCUAGAGUGCUGGAGAGGUAAGUGGAAUUCCUAGUGUAGCGGUGAAAUGCGUAGAUAUUAGGAGGAACACCAGUGGCGAAGGCGGCUUACUGGACAGUGACUGACGUUGAGGCUCGAAAGCGUGGGGAGCAAACAGGAUUAGAUACCCGAGUAGUCC